UACGGAGGAGGCAAGCGUUAUCCGGAAUUAUUGGGCGUAAAGCGUCCGUAGGUGGCUCUUCAAGUCUGCUGUCAAAGAGCGGGGCUUAACCCUGCAAAGGCAGUGGAAACUGAAAGGCUAGAGAGCCGUAGGGGUAGAGGGAAUUCCCGGUGUAGCGGUGAAAUGCGUAGAGAUCGGGAAGAACAUCGGUGGCGAAAGCGCUCUACUGGACUGCAACUGACACUCAGGGACGAAAGCUAGGGGAGCGAAUGGG
rnacentral:rRNA from 1 species